AACAAAAAGAAAUAAAGGUAACUGUAACAUAGAAACACACACACACACACCCACACACACGCAGGAAUGCAUAUACGCAUACACACACUUUGCUUGGCGUGAUGCAAGAUGCUUGAUAAAUAGAAAUGAAGGGGAGAAUCACUCAUUUGAAUCACUAAGUAUCAAGGAGAAAACAAGAGGAAAGGUUGCCUAAAUCUAACCUAAUAUUACCUUCUCAGCUUAGUGAAAGACACUACAGCCUUCCACUCCCCACCUGAUCCUGUUCUGCAAAUACAUGAGGUCGACCAGCUCUAUUCACCGCACACAGUAGCUAGCAAACACACAUACACUCACACCAACAGUCUGUGUCCACCUCUCAUGCAAACCCUUAUUAUAGACAAACCCAUAAACGCAAAAUCUCUGGAGUCAAAUCAAAACGGGAGUGUUUGUGUGCUUGCCAUGGUGUGUGUCAACUACCCAGUCCCUUGGGUGUCAUCUAACCCACUAAACAUGCAUCGUUAUUACAUGCAUGGUCCAUUUCAUUGCCAUUCAGUCCCCUCAACCCAUCAGCUCUCUGCCAACAUGGAGAUCCUCUAUGUGUCUCUUGUGGCCACUCACGCUCCAGUGUGUGUGUUAAAAGGUCAAUUAAAGCUACAUAAAAAUCUAGCACAUUUUAUCCCCCCGCUGCUGCAGUUUCUAUAGGUCUUUUAUUAUUAUUAUUAUUAUUUUAUAUAUAUUUUUUACACAGUCUUAUUUUUACCCCGGAGCACGAUUUGCCACCAGGUAAAGAUUGAGGUGUGAAAAAAGUCAGGUCGAAGCAAAUUCAGCUAUAGUCUCCUUAACAAACAAAAAAACACUCCCAAAAAUCAGCAUAAAUACAUCAAAGCUCUGUUAUGGAGGGUGAGUCAUGUGGAUGAGACGAUCCGGUGUGGAAAUGCCUCUUCUAGAACGGCCGCUUAAAGGAGGAUCGGAUGAUAAAUUACCGAUGCUAAAUUAUAGAUGGGAUUUAUUUUUGAAACAUAAGGAUCAGGGGCUGGAAGGGUGAACGUCAGGUUAGCUAGAGCAUUAGAGGUGGAGAAAGGGUGACUUUCAGUGUUUAGCGUGGCUAAUAUUACAUCAGGUUAAAUUGAGUGUGUGUGUAUGUGAUCAACAAACCAAACAAGCUAAAUAAACAAUCACUUUAUGAGCAACCUUCGUGUUCAUCCGAGUCUACCUUGAAUUAAAGUUGCUGAAUGUAUUUGGGUGUUAGUUGUGUGUUUCUGUGGGCAGGUUUGACUGGACAGUGCAGUCAGCUGUUGUGUGUUGGCUGACUCGGCAGAAUGAGCUCACUCUCUUAUUGACACAUGGGCUGGGCCAGGGCAGGGCAGGGUAGAGUGUCAUAAUAGGCUGAGACUGUGUGUGUGUGUGUGUGUGUGUGUGUGUGUGUGUGUGUGUGUGUGUGUGUGUGUGUGUGUGUGUGUGUGUGUGUGUGUGUGUGUGUGUGUGUGUGUGUGUGUGUGUGUGUGUGUAUCUUGGGACAGGGUGCACUGUCAGUCUGUGAGAACAGGUUUUAUUGGGGUCUCUACAAGCUACAGGUGUAGUACUAUACUAGGAGGUCAGGUAAAGUCCAGCUACAGGUGCUGUACUAUACUAGGAGGUCAGGUAAAGUCCAGCUACAGGUGUAGUACUAUACUAGGAGGUCAGGUAAAGUCCAGCUACAGGUGUAGUAUUAUACUAGGAGGUCAGGUAAAGUCCAGCUACAGGUGUUGUAUUAUACUAGGAGGUCAGGUAAAGUCCAGCUACAGGUGUAGUACUAUACUAGGAGGUCAGGUAAAGUCCAGCUACAGGUGUAGUAUUAUACUAGGAGGUCAGGUAAAGUCCAGCUACAGGUGUAGUAUUAUACUAGGAGGUCAGGUAAAGUCCAGCUACAGGUGUUGUAUUAUACUAGGAGGUCAGGUAAAGUCCAGCUACAGGUGUUGUAUUAUACUAGGAGGUCAGGUAAAGUCCAGCUACAGGUGUUGUAUUAUACUAGGAGGUCAGGUAAAGUCCAGCUACAGGUGUUGUAUUAUACUAGGAGGUCAGGUAAAGUCCAGCUACAGGUGUUGUAUUAUACUAGGAGGUCAGGUAAAGUCCAGCUACAGGUGUUGUAUUAUACUAGGAGGUCAGGUAAAGUCCAGCUACAGGUGUUGUAUUAUACUAGGAGGUCAGGUAAAGUCCAGCUACGGGUGUGAGUUCAGUAUAUGAGCUAUAAAGCCACAGUUGAAGAGGGUGUGUUUAUUCCCUCUUGGCUAAGAUGUGCGUAUUCAAGUGUAAAACGCAAAUAAACUCAGCAAAAAAAAGAAUUGUCCCUUUUGCAGGACCCCGUCUUUCACAGAUAAUUCUUAAAAAUCCAAAUAACUUCAUGGAUCUUCAUUGUAAAGGGUUUAAACACUGUUUCCUGUGCUUGUUCAAUGAACCAUAAACAGUUAAUGAACAUGCACCUGUGGAACGGUCGUUAAGACCAACAGCUUACAGACGGUCGGCAAUUAAGGUCAGUUAUGAAAACGUAGGACACUAAAGAGGCCUUUCUACUGAUUCUGAAAAACACCAAACGAAAGAUGCCCAGGAUCCCUGCUCAGCUGCGUGAAGAUGCCCUAGGCAUGCUGCAAGGAGGCAUGAGAACUGCAGAUGUGGCCAGGGCAAUAAAUUGCAAUGUCUGUACUGUGAGACGCCUAAGACAGCGCUACAGGGAGACAGGACAGACAGCUGAUUGUCCUCGCAGUGGCAGACCACGUGUAACAAUACCUGCACAGGAUCUGUACAUCCAAACAUCACACCUGGGGGGAGAGGUACAGGAUGGCAACAACAACAGCAGCGAGAGUUUCACCAGAAACGCACAAUCCCUCAAUCAGUGCUUAGACUGUCUGCAAUAGGCUGAGCGAGGCUGGACUGAGGGCUUGUAGGCCGGUUGUAAGACAGGUCCUCACCAGACAUCACCGGCAACAAUGUCACCUAUGGGCACAAACCCACUGUCGCUGGACCAGACAGGACUGGCAAAAAGUGCUCUUCACUGACGAGUUGCGGUUUUGUCUCUCCAGGGGUGUUGGUCGGAUUCGUGUUUAUUGUCGAAGGAAUGACCGUUACACCGAGGCCUGUACUCUGGAGAGGGAUCGAUUUGGAGGUGGAGGUUCCGUCAGGGUCUGGGGCGGUGUGUCACAGCAUCAUCGGACUGAGCUUGUUAUUGCAGGCAAUCUCAAUGCUGUGUUACAGGGAAGACACUCUCCUCCCUCAUGUGGUACCCUUCCUGCAGGCUCAUCCUGACAUGACUCUCCAGCAUGACAAUACCACCAGCCAUACUGCUCGUUCUGUGCUUGAUUUCCUGCAAGACAGGAAUGUCAGUAUUCUGCUAUGGCCAGCGAAGAGACCCGAUUUCAAUCCCAUUGAGCACAUAUAGGACCUGUUGGAUCAGAGGGUGAGGGCUAGGCCACUCCCCCCAGAAAUGUCCAGGAACUUCUAGGUGCCUUGGUGGAAGAGUGGGUCUGUGGAACUUGUUCAGUUUUUGUCUCAGUUGUUGA